rnacentral:rRNA from 1 species
AUGGCAGGGAGCAGGACUGCUCCGAUGACGAGGCAAAACUGCAGAUGUUUAGGUUUACAGGCUUCUCAAGAUGAAGCACAAGUCUCAGCCGUGGCAAACACUGAAAAUGUGAACUCAGCUGGUGCCCCAGCAUCUGAUGCUCAGGCCACUCCAAUAUGUGAAGCUGCUCCAUCUCAAAUUGCUACUGCUGGUACAACAAGCAAAGUUGGUAGUAAGAGGAAGCUCACAUCAGUAGUAUGGGAUGAGAUGGAAAAGAAACUUAUUGAUGGAGUAUGGAAAGCUGAAUGCAAUUAUUGUCACACAAAACUUAGUGCUCUUGGUACACAUGGAACCAAACAUUUGCAUGCUCAUUUGGCCUCUUGUCCUGCUAGGCAUGUACCUAUGGGUACGAAGCAACAAAAAAUAAAGUUGACAGCGGCUGAAGGUGGAAAAGUAAAUGUUGAAAAUUACACUUUCUAUUAA